GAAUUUAAUUAAAAGAAAACAAAACAAAAGAGCAAAGGGCCGUGAAUGACUUCCUCUUUCUCGUGUUUCAUUUCGUUCCACUUCUUUACACUUCUUUCCACGUCUUUCUUCUUUAUCCUUUUUCUGUU
rnacentral:ribozyme from 1 species